rnacentral:lncRNA from 1 species
CUUCUUAUUGGGUUUAGAUUUUCUGAAGCAAACUGAGUAAGAUUUAUCUUUUCUGAGUCUAGUGGUUUUAAGUUUUUGAAACCAAAGCUUCAAAGACAGAAGAACAGGAUCGUCAAGCAGUUGGGGCCACCCAAGCAAAGGCCUGAAGCUUCUAGCCAGGCCAUUUGUUCUGGUCAUGUUUUGGGGCCUAAGACAAUUGUUUGGGAAGAAAACUUGGGAUUCCACAGCAAGCGUAAUACAAUAUAGAUAUUAUUGUUAAGGAGAGUUUAUUUUUAUAGUGAUGAAGUUUUCCAAUAAUUAAAAGGGUGAUCAAGUGGUAUUAUGGGAGAUUAUUUCUCAGUGGACUAUGUAGAUGAGCAAUCCUUCUCUUCAUAGGAUAUUUUAGAAUUUAGUUUACUCUAAAAUAUGAACCCUUAAGUUAAUAAACAGGGUGGCAUCUGGUGCCAAGGAUUAAAUAUUUACUGGUAAAAUAUACAGUGAUGAAAAGGAUUUUCCAACAGGCGAUAAAUCAAAUAGUCUGAGCUCUGUAUUAAAUAUUAUUUUUAUCAGGGAAAAAAUAAAACUUGGCCCAUGGAACAAAGUUAACCCAUUGUUGUGGAUUCCUGGAGCCUAACUUGUGAGGAUCAGCAGACAUUCCUUUUAAAAACCAGGUUGACAGACCCCUGGAAAUAUAAAAGGUAUAAAAGCCCUCUUUACGAGUUCCAUUUUUGUUGCACCACUUUUAUUACUGAAGCCUUUUUCAACAUUUGGCUCCAUAAGAAAAACAGUUCUGUCAUAUGGUUUCAAGUAAUCCUCACACUUCUAAAAUCGAAUAUGGCUGCCAACUAAUAUCGCAAGAGCUAAAUAGAUGACA